UGAGGAACAUGACUUUCGGCGGGGGAUAGCCGGCCCAACGGCCGGGUAAUACCGCGUACGACCUUUUGGGGACAUCCCCGAUUGGUGAAAGCAGCAAUGCGCCGAAAGAGUGCCUCGCGGCCUAUCAGCUAGUUGGUGGGUAAUGGCUCACCAAGGCGACGACGGGUAGCUGGUCUGAGAGGAUGGCCAGCCACAGUUGGGACUGAGACACGGCCCAGACUCCGUACGGGAGCAGCAGG
rnacentral:rRNA from 1 species